AUGGCGUUCAGCGGCGCUCAGAUUCUCACUGCCUUCACCCUGGGCUUUCUUCUCAUGGCCUUCUGUGCGGAGGCUCGCGUAUGCACGACCCCUAGCAAGUGGGGCCAAAGGAGCAUGUGCAAGACCACGGCUUGCAUCGGGGCCUGUCAGUACGAGCACUUUAAGGGUGGGUACUGCUCCGAUGAGAAAUCAAUUGUUGGCUACGAGGUCAACGAAGACAACGACGGCAACUACUUUCACAUACCUAAGAGAAAGACGUGCAUGUGUACAUAUGAAUGCAGGAAAAAACCCACCACCACUGUGAGAACCUACGUGCCUAAGCCACCGGGUGAACCCGAGGUGCCCGAUCCUAAGAAGAAGAAGAAGCCGCCGCCAUAUGAACGUGAUGUGCCAGAGCCGCCCUCGGGAGAAAACAAGAAGAAAAGCUUCCGCCAGCUGCCAACCAGUGAGAAAAUGGUCUAG
rnacentral:rRNA from 1 species